AGGGAGAGAGAGGGAGGGUGGGAGAGAGAGAGAGAGGGUGGUGNNNNNNNNNNNNNNNNNNNNAGAGAGGAGGUGGGAGAGAGAGAGAGAGAGGGUGGUGGUCAAAAGUGGAGCUCCUCCGACAACGGCGCUCAAGGUUCCGGCAACGGUGCUUAGGGUUCUGGCAGCGUGGCGGCGAUAAGCUUCUUUUGUAACGCCCCCUAAAUUCCUCCUUAUCGAAUUACUCAUAGGUCUCUACUUUUUUUCCUGCAUUUGAUCUUCAAAUUUGCUUCGCCUGCUUUUCUUGCUUUUGCUUCUUGGAAAGGUCGGGCUUAUUUGUCAUUUUUGUUUGAUCUGUUGGUUUCGAUUUGUGCCAUUGGCUGUGGGUGGAGCAUGUAGGAUUGGAUUUCGAUCUUUCUCCCUAUGAUGCGUCUAUCUUUGCUCUUUUUCGAUUUUUUAGCUUGAUUUUUUCAUGUUUUCAUGGCAUUUCGAUUUUUUGUGUUGUUAGCCUUUGAAUGGGUUUUUCUUGUGAUCAGAUGAAGUGUGGCUCAUCGAUUGUCCACCACCCACUGUGUCGUCGGUCUCAACACUCACUGCAAACAAGCCAAGGUGAGAGAGGUCGUCGAGCUCAUGAACUUACGCACCUUGCUGAUUCCCCAACCUUUUCUCCAAGCACUUGAGGAAAUUCAAGUGCUUUUGGUGCUUGUUGCAUGUUUGACAAAAUGGCUCAACGAAGAAGGUAUCUGCUAUUUUAGUUCCGAUGGACACAGGUGUUUGAUUUAUUCAAAUCCAUAUGACAGUAAGUCUUUGGAACAACCGCCUCUCAUGACUUUCCUCUUAAAGAUAAAAGAUAAGAACGAGUACUAUCACAUGUAUAUGGGUCAGCUUUCCUUUAAAAAAUAUUAUGAAUUUCAUGUGAGGUUAUUUCGGGCCUUUUGGGAUUUGUAAGACUUAACUUUUGACUUGAUUCUAUUUUUACAACUAUUGUUAGAAUUUUUCCUGAGAUUGACCUUGGGAUGCUCUGUGGUUGUUGAUAUCAGUUUCGCAGCAUGGCAGCUGAAAUAUUUCUCAA
rnacentral:lncRNA from 1 species